CACUCCUGCGGGAGGCAGCAGUGGGGAAUAUUGGACAAUGGGCGCAAGCCUGAUCCAGCCAUGCCGCGUGAGUGAUGAAGGCCCUAGGGUUGUAAAGCUCUUUCACCGGAGAAGAUAAUGACGGUAUCCGGAGAAGAAGCCCCGGCUAACUUCGUGCCAGCAGCCGCGGUAAUACGAAGGGGGCUAGCGUUGUUCGGAAUUACUGGGCGUAAAGCGCACGUAGGCGGAUCGAUCAGUCAGGGGUGAAAUCCCAGGGCUCAACCCUGGAACUGCCUUUGAUACUGUCGAUCUGGAGUAUGGAAGAGGUGAGUGGAAUUCCGAGUGUAGAGGUGAAAUUCGUAGAUAUUCGGAGGAACACCAGUGGCGAAGGCGGCUCACUGGUCCAUUACUGACGCUGAGGUGCGAAAGCGUGGGGAGCAAACAGGAUUAGAAACCCCGGUAGUCCC
rnacentral:rRNA from 1 species